GACGAACCGUGCGAACGUUAUUCGGAAUCACUGGGCUUAAAGCGCGUGUAGGCGGGCCGGCACGUCCGAGGCUGAAAUCCCCCGGCUCAACCGGGGAACUGGCCCGGAUACGACCGGCCUGGAGGGGGGUAGGGGAAUCGGGAACUCACGGUGGAGCGGUGAAAUGCGUUGAGAUCGUGAGGAACGCCCGCGGCGAAAGCGCGGUUCUGGACCCCACCUGACGCUGAGACGCGAAAGCCAGGGGAGCGAACGGG
rnacentral:rRNA from 1 species